UUAUUAUUUAUUGGGAAGAGACCGAAUCACUGCCUGAACCUGGUGCUCAUCAAAGAGAACAUGACCAGCACUUUUGAGUUGAGAAAUCAUAUUUGACAUCACCCGCAUAUGUUUCUUGAGACCGUGAUCAUGACAUUUUUUGUAUGCGUCAAAUUUGAUUGUCAGCUGACGAAGGCUGUGGCGGGGAACCACGACCACCUGUAGUACCUUGUGAAACCUGUAGGGCUGACAGAAAGAGCCUCUAAGGAUAGCCUCUACCAUAUGAAUCCCUACAUACAGAUGAGGUACCAUUGAAGCUAUCAGAAUGACAAGGCCUCUUGUCUGACC
rnacentral:lncRNA from 1 species